AUUGAACGCUGGCGGCAGGCCUAACACAUGCAAGUCGGGCGGAUGAAGGGAUCUUGCGCCUGGGUUCAGCGGCGGACGGGUGAGUAAUUCCUAUGAAUCGGCCUAGUAGUGCGGGAUAACGUCGGUAAACGGGCGCUAAUACCGCAUACGACCGGGGGGAGAAAGUGGGGGAUCUUCGGACCUGACGCUAGAGGAUGGGCUGGAGUCGGAUUAGCUAGUGGGUGGGGCAAAGACUGACCAAGGCGAGGAUCAGUAACUGGUCUGAGAGGAUGAUCAGCCACACUGGGACUGAGACACGGCGCGGACUCUUAGGGAAGGCAGCAGAGGGGAAUAUCCCGCAAUGGGCGGAAGCCUGAGGGAGCAUUGCCGCGUGGAGGUAGAAGGCCCAGGGGUCGUGAACUGCAUUUCACUGAGUGGAAGCAAUGACGUUAUCUGGAGAAUAAGCACCGGCUAACUCGGUG
rnacentral:rRNA from 1 species